UGGCUCAGGAUGAACGCUAGCUACAGGCUUUAACACAUGCAAGUCAGGGGCAGCAUUAUCGAAGCUUGCUUUGGUAGAUGGCGACCGGCGCACGGGUGAGUAACGCGUAUCCAACUUCCCCAUAGUAGGGCAUAGCCCGUAGAAAUGCGGAUUUAAUACCCUAUGUAUUCCGAGGAUGACAUCUGAUUCGGACAAAGGGUUCACCGCUAUGGGAUGGGGAUGCGUCUGAUUAGGUAGUCGGCGGGGUAACGGCCCACCGAGCCAUCGAUCAGUAGGGGUUCUGAGAGGAAGGUCCCCCACAUUGGAACUGAGACACGGUCCAAACUCCUACGGGAGGCAGCAGUGAGGAAUAUUGGUCAAUGGGCGAGAGCCUGAACCAGCCAAGUAGCGUGCAGGAUGACGGCCCUAUGGGUUGUAAACUGCUUUUAUAGGGGAAUAAAGUGAGGUAUGCAUACCUUUUUGUAUGUACCCUAUGAAUAAGGACCGGCUAAUUCCGUGCC
rnacentral:rRNA from 1 species